rnacentral:misc_RNA from 1 species
GCAAACUUGGUCAUUUAGAGGAAGUAAAAGUCGUAACAAGGUAACCGUAGGUGAACCUGCGGUUGGAUCAUUAGUGAUUUAAAAACUUGGUGUUGCAUUGCAUCUAGGCGACUCUAGUUCACACAAACGUGUGUUUCAUGAUGAGCCUUUAUGCUUGCAUCCCCAUUCACACCGUGCACAUUGAAUAAUGUAUCUUGUGUUGGACAUUACAAAGGCAUUCAUUCUUGGAUGAUGUCUGUCCAGCACAGCAGCUAUAUUAAACAUUGUUGUAUUUAAUCAAAGUCUGAAACUCGUUGUAUACAUUUUGUUGCAAUGUAAUAAUUGUAAACAUGAUUAAACAACUUUUGACAAUGGAUCUCUUGGCUCUCGCAUCGAUGAAGAACGCAGC